UACAGAGGGUGCGAGCGUUAAUCGGAAUUACUGGGCGUAAAGCGUGCGUAGACGGCUAUCUAAGUCGGGUGUGAAAGCCCCGGGCUCAACCUGGGAAUUGCAUUCGAGACUGAAUAGCUAGGGUACGGUAGAGGGAAGCGGAAUUUCCGGUGUAGCGGUGAAAUGCGUAGAUAUCGGAAGGAACAUCAGUGGCGAAAGCGGCUUCCUGGACCAGUACCGACGUCAGGCACGAAAGCGUGGGGAGCAAACAGGA
rnacentral:rRNA from 1 species